AGUCAAUGAGAAUGUCCACAAGGAGCAGGGAGGAAAUCUAGGGGCAGGAAUUUCAAGCGUCUGCCAUCUCUGACCCAUGGUUGGGAUUUCAGGUUGGUUUGGGGGUGCAGGGGUUUGCAAGUGAUAUUCACCUUCAUGUAAUAGGGAGCCCCAUUAUGAUGGAGCUUUGCUACAAUCUAGGGUCAGACAGGUGGCUCCCACCAUCAUGUGAGAUGAUGACUCAGCUCAUGCCUGAAUCUGGGCCAACUGUGUGCGAAGAAAUCCUUUUUCCUUUCUGAAGUAAAUGGGCAGAUGGAUAGUCACUGUGUGAGUCACGAAGCCUGAGGCCCCAAAUGGCUGUGCAGAUGGAGAAAAAUGAGAUCCCGUGCAGGAGGCUCCCAUCUCCUCAAACGGUGGGGUCUGACCCCUGCAUGUGCCGCACCUGCCAGAAAACAUAGCUACCAGGAGGCAGUGUAAGCCCCCAUGGCAGAGGAGGCACAGAGAGUUGGUGUGACCGUGGGCACUGCCAGGAUCUUGGUCACCUUCCAAAGUAGAAAUGAUCAGAAACUUGGAACAAUACGCAACGUGGAAGAAAUUAGAACGAAGGCUGGUAAGUGCCAGGGUCAGCCUAACCCUGCUUCUAAAUGUCAUAAGAAAACAUGACCACGUGUGGAAAUCCACACCUGAGAUGUCAGCAUUUUAUAGUGUUUACCGUACUGUUCUAUUGAGUGAUCUUCUCUCUGAAGGAUAAUAGGUAAAGCCUUUUAAACAAGAUCAGCUCUUUGAUCCCAUUGGGAAGUAUAUUUCCCCAGUCAGUGAACCCAAAAUACAAUGUGUGUGUGUGUGUGUGUGUGUGUGUGUGUGUGUGUGUGUGUGAGAGAGAGAGAGAGAGAGAGAGAGAGAGAGACUCCCUUCAGAGAUCUGCUGAGAAGGCAGGGGACCAGGAAAACAGGUGAAGAAACAAUACAAGUUCAACUGAAAGACAUUUGAGACAAAGGUGAAUUUGGAACCUUGAACUCCCCCUUUCAUAGAAUCAACAUUCAAGUACUUAGGCAAAAUUAUAAAGCUCUAGCAAAGGGCAAUGCUUCCCAGGCACACUGGUACUCUGUGGUACUACAGGUACAUCAUAUCCAUCCCUUCCCACCACGGCCAAGUUCAGUGCUGGCAGCACAGAUCACCAGGACAGAAUCCUGGAUCUUGAAAGGCAUACCAUGUAAAUAUAGAAACAACUACAAGACAGACUCGUAAGUUAUAAUAAUGAAGGCAUAGAAGACAUGCUCUGGGAGUCUGGAAGAAGGAGCAGACAGGGAGAUGUCUGAGCUGAAUGUGAAGGGUAGGUAGGAAUCUUACAGUGUGAAAAGGAGGAGAAAGAACAGUGCCUGCCAGGACAAGACCUUGCUCAAAGGCCCUCCAGGGAAGGAGUUAGGACCAGGCAGGGCACCAGUGAGCACUUUGAGAUGCUCAAGGGCACGGUGUUCAGGGCAAGAUGAAUCUGGAGGGGUGGGUAGGGAUUGUGUGGUAACAGGUGCAGGUGCCACUCCUGAGGCAUUGGGAGGCCGACCCAAGCUCUCACCAUGUGGGAGAGUAAUCCUGUUUCCUGCCUCAGAGGUAACCUUGCCCUUAAAGAGUGAAGCAGAGUGAAGUGGAUGGGGGAGGUGGUGAAGGGAGACUAACCAGGGUGCUGCUGACACAGCGCCCCUGCGAGCUCACAAAGCCCAAGCGUCAGCAGGGAGGGCAUGAGGAGGAAGAUCAGAGGGAGCGACGUGGCAUGUGGAAUGGAUAGGACCUCCUAUUUGGUAGGGUUUGGAGGAAAAUGACGGUGAUGUAUCUGACUUGGCUCAUGCCAUCCUCCCCCCCAAAGAGAGGGGAGACGGUAGGGGUGAGGUACUGUUUAGGAAAGGCUGAGUCUGAGACGCCUGUGGGUCAUCUGACUAGAGAGGUCCAAAGGGCAGUCAGAAACACGGGUGUGGAGCUUGGGACAGAGAGCUGCUGGAAUAUCUUUCUGAUGACACAGUCCUGUGGGGAAGUGCCGUUCUGACACAGUGGGUGUGGUCUCACGGUCCGCAAAGCGGGGAGCUCUCUUCCCCUCACUCCGUGUGGGGGUCAGGAUUUGCACAGGCCGGUGCCCCUGGCAGAAGGUGAAGGGAAAACAUGUUUCACACCUCUGGGGCCUUCCCACAGCACUUCCCUCUGCAACCAUGUUUUCCAGAAACGAGGCCAAGACUAAACCUUUAACCUGAAAUGGCUUUCUACAGAGUUCUCUGGGGCUGGAAGGUAGACCCAACAUCUGGGACACUGCAGUCCCUUCUGGGGUUAUGAGCCUAAGACAUGGUCUCAGAGAAUACCCCACUGGCCUCUACCUCAUGCAGGAUGCACUUCGUGAAGCCUACAUUUCCUCUAAGACCGCACAUGGACCCCGAUCCUUAGACCACCACUGCCAAGAGGAACUGAAACGAAGUGAAUCACAGAAGGCGGGUGGGCAGUUACAUUUUGUACUUUAAGACCAGAAAGUGCUUUCUAGCAAA